GCGGCGGACGGGUGAGUAACACGUGGGCAACCUGCCUCAAAGAGGGGAAUAGCCCUCCGAAAGGAGGAUUAAUACCGCAUAAAGUUAGAGUUUCGCAUGAAACUUUAACCAAAGGAGUAAUCUGCUUUGAGAUGGGCCCGCAUCCCAUUAGCUAGUUGGUAAGGUAAUGGCUUACCAAGGCAACGAUGGGUAGCCGACCUGAGAGGGUGAUCGGCCACAUUGGAACUGAGACACGGUCCAGACUCCUACGGGAGGCAGCAGUGGGGAAUAUUGCGCAAUGGGGGAAACCCUGACGCAGCAACGCCGCGUGGGUGAUGAAGGUUUUCGGAUCGUAAAACCCUGUUUUCUGGGACGAUAAUGACGGUACCAGAUGAGGAAGCCACGGCUAACUACGUGCCAGCAGCCGCGGUAAUACGUAGGUGGCAAGCGUUGUCCGGAUUUACUGGGCGUAAAGGGUGCGUAGGCGGAUGCUUAAGUGAGAUGUGAAAUACCUAGGCUUAACUUAGGGGCUGCNUUUCAAACUGGGCAUCUAGANUACAGGAGAGGGAAACGGANUUCCUAGUGUAGCGNUGAAAUGCGUAGAGU
rnacentral:rRNA from 1 species